GGAGGGUAUGGCUCAGUGGUAGAGCAUAUGCUUAGCAUGCAUGAGGUCCUGGGUUCAAUCCCCAGUAUCUCCA
rnacentral:tRNA from 1 species